rnacentral:rRNA from 1 species
CCAAGAGAUCGGGAUAACACCUGGAAACAGAUGCUAAUACCGGAUAACAACAGAUGAUGCCUAUCAACUGUUUAAAAGAUGGUUCUGCUAUCACUCUUGGAUGGACCUGCGGUGCAUUAGCUAGUUGGUAGGGUAACGGCCUACCAAGGCGAUGAUGCAUAGCCGAGUUGAGAGACUGAUCGGCCACAUUGGGACUGAGACACGGCCCAAACUCCUACGGGAGGCAGCAGCC